UCUUGAUUGGUCUAGUGGUCAGGAUACCUGCUUGUCAUGAAAUACAUUGUCAGUGAUUAGUAAGCUCGCAGGUGGCCGGGGUUCGAUUCCCCGAUCGAGAG